rnacentral:rRNA from 1 species
GACGUAGGAGGCGAGCGUUAUCCGGAUUCACUGGGCGUAAAGCGCAUGUAGGCGGAUGUCUAAGUCGUGUGUUAAAGCCCCUGGCUCAACUGGGGGAGGUCAUGCGAGACUGGAUGACUUGAGGGCAACAGAGGCACGUGGAACUCCCGGUGUAGUGGUGAAAUGCGUAGAUAUCGGGAGGAACACCAGUGGCGAAGGCGACUACCUGGCCUGUUCUUGACGCUGAGGCGCGAAAGCUAGGGGAGCAAACGGG